ACAUUGGAACAACUGUUCCCGUACGAUCACCAGAGUUAAGCAAGGUUGAGCCUGGUCAGUACCUAGAUGGGUGACUAUUUGGGAAUACCCGAUAUUGUAAG